rnacentral:rRNA from 1 species
UUUCGCAAUGCCCGAAAGGGUGACGAAGCGACGCCGCGUGCGGGAAGAAGGCCUUCGGGUUGUAAACCGCUGUCGGGAGUUAAGAAAUGUAAGAAUGUUAAUAGCGUUCUUACUUGACUAAGGCUCCGGAGGAAGCCACGGCUAACUCUGUGCCAGCAGCCGCGGUAAUACAGAGGCGGCAAGCGUUGUUCGGAAUUAUUGGGCGUAAAGAGCACGUAGGCGGUUCUGCAAGUCGGCUGUGAAAGCCUUCCGCUCAACGGAAGAACAGCAGUUGAUACUACAGGACUCGAGUGCGGGAGGGGAGAGUGGAACUUCUGGUGGAGCGGUGAAAUGCGUAGAUAUCAGAAGGAACGCCGGCGGCGAAAGCGACUCUCUGGCCCGUAACUGACGCUGAGUGUGCGAAAGCUAGGGGAGCAAACGGGAUUAGAUACCCCGGUAGUCCUAGCUGUAAACGAUGGGCACUAAGUAGAGGGGUUUUA